GAACCGUGCUAACGUUGUUCGGAAUCACUGGGCUUAAAGGGCGCGUAGGCGGUGUGUUAAGUCGGUGGUGAAAUACUUCGGCUCAACCGGAGAAUUGCCGCUGAAACUGGCAUGCUAGAGGGAGGUAGAGGUGCGUGGAACUUCCGGUGGAGUGGUGAAAUACGUUGAUAUCGGAAGGAACGCCGGUGGCGAAAGCGAUGCACUGGACCUCUUCUGACGCUGAGGCGCGAAAGCUAGGGUAGCGAACGGGAUUAGAUACCCCGGUAGUCCUAGCCGUAAACGAUGGGUACUAGAGAGUAGAUGCUCCGAUGUGUUUACUCUCGAAGCAAAAGUGCUAAGUACCCCGCCUGGGGAGUAUGGUCGCAAGGCUGAA
rnacentral:rRNA from 1 species